rnacentral:rRNA from 1 species
AACGACGCAUUUCCUUCCGCCUCGGACGCCGCAGCCGGUUGGGAUCAGAGCGGGUAUUCAAGUAGUGUGCGUCGGGCAAUCGCUGAUCGUGGCCCCCGCCGGGCUCGGCGGCUUGCGGCGAGAAAGUCGGUAACCCACCCCACCCGUCUUAAAACACGGACCAAGGAGUCUGACUUGUGCGCGAGUCAUGGGGACUUGAACAGGCCCAAAGGCGAAAUGAAAUUGAAGCCGUGAUGCCGCGGCCGCAACGGCGACCCGGUCGGUGUUCGAGCGCACACGUUGGUACCCGAAAGAUGGUGAACUAUGCCCGACCAGGACAAUGUCAGGUGAAAAUCUGAUGGAGGUCCGCAGCGCUUCUGACGUGCAAAUCGAUUGCGAGAAUCGGGUAUAGGGACGAAAGAUCAAUCGAACCAUCUAGUAGCUGGUUCCCUCCGAAGUUUCCCUCAGGAUAGCUGGCGCUCAUGAAUCUCAUUUAUUAAAGCGAA